UACGGAGGGGCUAGCGUUGUUCGGAAUUACUGGGCGUAAAGCGCGCGUAGGCGGACCUGCAAGUCGGGGUGAAAGCCCGAGGCUCAACCUCGGAACUGCCUUCGAUACUGCGGGUCUCGAGUCCGGGAGAGGUGAGUGGAAUUCCUAGUGUAGAGGUGAAAUUCGUAGAUAUUAGGAAGAACACCAGUGGCGAAGGCGGCUCACUGGCCCGGUACUGACGCUGAGGCGCGAAAGGCGUGGGGAGCAAACAGG
rnacentral:rRNA from 1 species